AACGAACGCUGGCGGCAUGCCUAACACAUGCAAGUCGAACGGGAUCCUGGCUUCGGCCAGGUGAGAGUGGCGGACGGGUGAGUAACGCGUGGGAACCUGCCCAUUGGUCUGGGAUAACUGCGGGAAACUGCAACUAAUACCGGAUGUACCCGAGAGGGGAAAGAUUUAUCGCCGAUGGAGGGGCCCGCGUCAGAUUAGGUAGUUGGUGAGGUAACGGCUCACCAAGCCUACGAUCUGUAGCUGGUCUGAGAGGAUGAUCAGCCACACUGGGACUGAGAUACGGCCCAGACUCCUACGGGAGGCAGCAGUGGGGAAUAUUGGACAAUGGGGGCAACCCUGAUCCAGCAAUGCCGCGUGAGUGAUGAAGGCCUUAGGGUUGUAAAGCUCUUUUACCAGGGACAUGAUGACGGUACCUGGAGAAUAAGCCCCGGCUAACUUCGUGCCAGCAGCCGCGGUAAU
rnacentral:rRNA from 1 species